rnacentral:rRNA from 1 species
GAUGAACGCUGGCGGCGUGCCUAAUACAUGCAAGUCGAGCGAACAGACGAGGAGCUUGCUCCUCUGACGUUAGCGGCGGACGGGUGAGUAACACGUGGAUAACCUACCUAUAAGACUGGGAUAACUUCGGGAAACCGGAGCUAAUACCGGAUAAUAUAUUGAACCGCAUGGUUCAAUAGUGAAAGACGGUUUUGCUGUCACUUAUAGAUGGAUCCGCGCCGCAUUAGCUAGUUGGUAAGGUAACGGCUUACCAAGGCGACGAUGCGUAGCCGACCUGAGAGGAUGAUCGGCCACACUGGAACUGAGACACGGUCCAGACUCCUACGGGAGGCAGCAGUAGGGAAUAUUCCGCAAUGGGCGAAAGCCUGACGGAGCAACGCCGCGUGAGUGAUGAAGGUCUUCGGAUCGUAAAACUCUGUUAUUAGGGAAGAACAAAUGUGUAAGUAACUAUGCACGUCUUGACGGUACCUAAUCAGAAAGCCACGGCUAACUACGUG